rnacentral:sRNA from 1 species
AUAUGCUUUUUAGAAGAACCAAAUUCAAGAACUUAACAGUUGGGUCUUCUAAGUUUGCCUCAGUGAAAUGAGGGCACAUAUUCGGACUUGUCAGAAGUACAUAGAUAAGUAUGGACCACUACAAGAACUUGAGGAGACAGCAGCAAGGUGUGUAUGUCCCUUUUGUCAGAGGGAACUGGAUGAAGACAGCUUGCUGGAUCAUUGUAUUACUCAUCACAGAUCAGAACAGAGGCCUGUGUUCUGUCCACUUUGCCGUUUAAUACCCGAUGAGAAUCCAAGCAGCUUCAGUGGCAGUUUAAUAAGACAUCUGCAAGUUAGUCACACUUUGUUUUAUGAUGAUUUCAUAGAUUUUAAUAUAAUUGAGGAAGCUCUUAUCCGAAGAGUCUUAGACCGGUCACUUCUUGAAUAUGUGAAUCACUCGAACACCACAUAAUUUUAUUAAAACGAAGGGAAAAGGGACCACUGAAUUGCACCAUUUAAGAUGCUGCUUGAACAAAUUGGAGGGAAGUUGUCAAUGAUUGAUGGGCAAAAAUGUACA